UCUUCUUCAUCUCAUUCCCACUCCUAGCCUUAAUCUCCACCAGCUCUGCAUGAUCACUGGAUCGUUUCAACAAACGAUCCUUCAACCGGUAAGGUGUUUCCAUGACAGAUUUUCCAUAGUUUUCCCAACUCUUAAACGACUCCUCUGGGAAGAAGUCGUUUUUUUGAAACGUACAUCCUCUCCUACGUACUCCGCCGCCAUCGACCACCUCUCCAACCGCCAUGUUCCUAUUUUCACUAAAGAAGCUUGUAUCAGUAGAGUAGUUUCUUUUGAAUGCAGGUGAGUGAGUUAAUAGUUUGGUAAUAUAUAUAUACAGUAAAUGUUGCUUAUUUUUGCGAUAUUAAGCACCAUGAAAUUCGCACUUCUUGUUGCGUGAGGUUACGAAGAAUUUGUUAAGGAAUUAGCCGGAGAAUACUGUUAAUAAUAAUAUAUUAUGUUUGUUACAUGCAUCAUUAAAAGAUAAGUAUAAUUUAAGUGUAAAAUAUCUAUUUUUUUUAAAUUAGUUUUACAUAAAGGGUAGUUUUGUAAAUGAUAAUUAUUUUAACAAACUACAAAACGGUUUUUUGUUUCUUGUAUCCGGUUCUACAUUAUGCAUUAAAAGCGUGUCUUUGUUUUAGAGAGAAAACUUAGGUACAAUUCCUUAGGUGCUUUUCGUAUGGUUCUUAAUUAAAAAUACAUAUUUUUUGGAUAUAAUAAACUUUGAGAAAAUUAUGGAUUUAAGAAAAUCAUGGUGAAUUUAGUUAAGAACCAUACAAAAAACAUCUAAAGAAUUGUACCUAAAUUUUCUUUUUUUAGUUGUCACUUUUCUUGUUACUUUGACGUUAUAAAUUACUGGAAAAAAAAAAAAAAAGAUAGUAUUAGUUAUCUCGUUUUUUUUAUAAUUUAUUAAUUAAAAUAUACUGGGAACAAAAUAAAAAUACAAUAGUAUUAGUUGUCUCAAUUUUUAUAUAAUUUGUUAGUUGCCUCUGCACAAAUUAUAUAUGUAAAAAAAAAAAGUGAAACAUGUCUACUAGCUUCAACAGAUGUUCAGGGUUGUUGUUGAAAAUGAAAACACACGAGACAAAACAUCACCGAGAGAAAGAACAAUAGACACAAAAAUUAUAAAACUAAUAAUUUAUUAAAUUACCAAACUGUCCUUUAAUGCCAAGUGACUACAAAUAGUGAAAAUUGUUUUUUUUUUUUAAAUACAAGUGAAUAUAGCUUGCUAACUUGCACCUUAAUAUUUUUAGAUAGGUAUAAGUUAGCAGCCCCCUAACUUUAAUAUCCCACUCUAAAGGUAAAUAUUAAUAAUAAUUUAUUCUGUAAUUUUUAUUUUUUUUUAUAGAAUAUAUUAAAGUUAUAGCCACUAAAAUUCUUUAAUUAAACUCAUACUCUUCUUAUUUAAUGUUCAACUAUAACUAAAUAAUUAUCGAUCUAAAAAUUAAAUAAAAAAAACUACUGUAUUGUUCAAAUCUGAGUCUUAAAGUUUGAUAACAAAUUUUGUGUUAAAUAAUUAUUUUUUUAGUGAGUAUUAAAUAAUUAGUUGUUACCUAAAUUUAGUAAUUUAUUACCUGAACUUGUUGAUAUUUGUUACUAUCACACAAAUUAAUGUUGCGUGAAAUUAAAAAUUGCUACCUGAAUAAUAAUCUAAUAUUAAUAUAAGUCUAUGAAAUUGCACAACUAAUAAGUUGAUGAGUAAAAAUUGUUUCAGGUUGGAUUGUUGUCUCCACAAAUAAUAAGAGUGGAGGGACACCCCUUCCAUAAAAAUUGAGGGGUGUCCCAUCCCCAAAUUUUCAUCCUAAAUUUCUAGAUAUUAAAUGUCAAGCAUAAGACCUUAAAUAAGGGUUUUGCCGGAAGCAACUCACACUUUUUAUUUACUACUAGUAAUAAAAUUAAUUUUGUAGUUUUUUAAAUUUAUAUGAAGGUGACCACAAGCACCGAUGAUGAAAGUAGGGCAGAACACCAAAACCCCACAAACAAACAACCAUGUCCCCUAAAAAUUAUUGUUAGUAAUUAACCGAAAAUUUAUUGUUAGUAAUUAACAAUAAAUUUAUUACUUUUUCUUUAUCGUUAGUAAUUAACCGAAAAUUUAUUACUUUUUUCCUCUUUCCCAUGGAUAUGAAAGACAUCCAACUCCUUUUUAACAUUUUAUCUCACAUCAGUUAAACUAUUCAAUCUCAUACAACUCAAUUUAUUAGUAAUUAAUCGAAAAUUUAUUACUUUUUUCCUCUUUCCCAUGGGUAUGAAAGACAUCCAACUCCUUUUUAACAUUUUAUCUCACAUCAGUUAAACUACUCAAUUCCAUAGGUGAAUUUUCGUGAAAAACUGCAUUCUGCCCGAGCCUGAAUUCAUCGCUCGCCUCGCGAGCACUUUUCCUUCGCCUCGCGAGUUGCAUGUUGCAGCUCGCCAUAGCGAGCAGAUCACUCGCCAUAGCGAGUUUGACCAGUGAGGAAACCUGAUUUUUGAUUUAACUUAUUAAGUCGAGCUUUAGAUGAUUUUGAGUGCCUGAAUAUGUAUAAUAAUGAUUUAGGCAAAUUUUUAGAUUGAGAUUGAACCUGAGAAAGAUUAAAAAUGGAUUUUUGGGUGAAAAAUCUCAAAUUCCCGAGAGCACCCAGUUUCUUGUUUGCCAAGGCGAGUAGCUUACUUGCCAAGGCGAAUGCCAAUUUCCUGAACUCGCCAUAGCGAGUAUGCAUGAACUCAACAACUUACAUCUUAGAAACAUCGACCUCUUAUAUAAAUCCAAUAAUUUGGAACAACAUUUUUCAUCUUAGACCGACUCAUGCAGCUUAGUUAAUAAACAAACAGCAACAUAGGCAGUACAUAAAACAGUUCAUGAUAUAACAAUAUCAAAUGCAAAUCAACAACAUCUCAAACAUCAUAUAUAAUUCAUGUAAUGCAUAUACAAAUAUAUCACAUUAUUAACAACAUCAAAUCAUCUAAAUCAGGCUUACUGAAACAACAACAGUAAGAUAAGCAACUUAGUUUCUUACCCCCAUGAUCAUCUCACAUCAACUCGUACGACAAAGGUCACAUUUAUCCUAACAAGCAGUCUGUCUCACAAGGGCUCGCGAGGCGAGAGCCUCUACUCGCUAUGGCGAGUUCAGGAAAUUGGCAUUCGCCUUGGCGAGUAAGCUACUCGCCUUGGCGAACAAGAAACUGGAUGCUCUCGGGAAUUUGACAUUUUUCACCCAAAAAUCCAUUUUUAUACUUUCUCAGGUUCAAUCUCAAUCUAAAAACUUGCCUAAUCAUUAUUAUACAUAUUCAGGCACUCAAAAUCAUCUAAAGCUCGACUUAAUAAGUUAAAUCACAAAUCAAGUUUCCUCAUUGGUCAAACUCACUAUGGUGAGUGAUCUGGUCGCUAUGGCGAGCUGCAACAUGCAAAUCGCGAGGCGAAGGAAAAGUGCUCGCGAUGCAAGCGAUGAAGAUCAUCACUCGCGAGGGCGAGGAUCAUCACUCGGGAGGCGAGCGAUGAAUUCAAGCUCGGGCAGAAUUACAGUUUUUCACGAAAAUUCACCUAAUCAUAUGGUUUAAACCUUAAAACUGGUUGGUUCCUAUAAUCAUCCUAUGAAUUAUCUAAGGUCUGUAUACAAAUAUUUAAAGGCAAUAACAUAAUGUCAGUAUAGCAUAACUCUUAUAAAAUAAUUAGAGCAUAGCGUUGGUGCACUAAUAGAAACAUUUUUUUUUUUUUUGGUGGUGAGAAACAUUUUGUUAUCAUUGCCGGUAAAAAGAAAAGGGUAUAUACUACGCAUUUUUAAUCAUCUAAAAAAAACCAUUUCUAAUAACAAAAGAAUCAAAAGAAAAGUAAUAACCGAAAAUAUACAAGGAUAGUAGGGAAAAAAGCCAACCCCACACAAAUCAAUUUACACCGCUGCAUAAGCUACUAUUCUUGGCUUCUAUUGGAAUCGAUUUUUUUGGUGGUGGUUAGGAUUUGAACCUCAGAUCUUGAAUAUAUUAUGCAUUGUUCAUACCAAUUGAUCUAAGCUCACGAGGACUAUUGAAAUUGAUUUUAAAGGCCAGAAUUGAUUUUUCAAAAAACACCCAAACACAUUUUUAUCUAUACUAUAUAAAAAAUGAAAUCCGAUUAAAAUAGGAAAUAUCUCACUACAAUUGGAACAAUAUUAUCAAUAUUAUAUAUAUUAAGGGAAUAGAGAUUUUGUGCUGAUUUUUUUAUAAUUCCAAGUAUACCUAAAACAAAUUUUCAUAUAUAAAUGUUAUAUUGGUUGAUGCCUUGAUGACAUUAAAAAAAAUAAGAAUUUAUAUUUAAUUUGUUUAUUUACGGUUGUAAUUGAAAAAGAUAAAUAUGGAUUUUUGAGUUUGUUACAAUUUAAAAGUUACAAAUUUUUGUACUAUUAAUUUUAAUAAAACUCAAAAUUUCAUAUAAAAUACAUAUUUUACGUGCUUUAGCGCAAUAAAAUGAGCGGAAAAAUGAGCAUGUCAGCAAGUAUGUGUGUGUGUGUGUUUGACAUCACUUAUGAAUGAGUUAAGAUUGAUUUUAAGAAUGGGAAAAUGCUACAUAUAGCAAUGUUUCCAGAAUUCAUCCCGAAUCAAUUUGAUUGGCUGCUUGGAACCAUGUUGUUUGUUAGAUAUACUUAUAGUUAGGGCAUCCCCAAAUGCAAAUGACCAAUACAAAUUAUGCAAAAAUUUUGACGGUAUGAUACAUUGGCUGUAUAUAUGCACACUACCAAAUUAAAAUUUCCAUGCCAUGCUGGGAUUAACAUUGAUUUCAUGAUCUUGCAGUUGUGCUUGGCAAAAUUGCCUACAGGGUGCAAAAGAAUUUUUUAUGCUUGUUAGGAAGGACAACCUUUGAGAAGCGCUAUAAUAUAAAGAGUAUGAAUUAAUAAUCAGAAUUUUUUUUUUAUGUUUGUUAGGAAGGACAACUUUUGACAUGUUUGCUUGCUUUGAAGUAGAACUGAUUUUAUCUAUAGAAUUGAUUCUAACUUUUGACAAGUACUUAAUAGAUGCGUAAUUGUCUAGUUUAGCAAUAUCAUACAAAUUAUGAAGAAAAAAAAACAUCAUACAUAACCAAAUCAUUUGACUGAUCAAAAAAUGAACCAAACCAAAUCAAAAUUGAAUCACAAAAGAUUGUGUUUAAAAACAAGUGUACUAUAUAACAUUUUAUUUUUUUGUCAAAGUAUGUAAAACUAAGCAUCACAAAAUAUAAACCCACACAAAACCACAACCAAAAAUAACGAAACCAUUUUUUAAUUUAUGCACAUAUAUGCAUGCUACCUUAAACAUAUACAUAUUAAAUUAUCAAUUGGAAACAGGUGCAAAACUAGAAUCUUGCUCGACAGCACCCUGCUCCAUCUUGUUCCAUUGCUUCGCAACCUUCUGAUCAGAACCAUGACUAUGUAUACUCUGAUCAAAUUCUUUUGCAGUGUCAUAUGAAGCAUGUAACCCCAAUAGCACAUAGUAUACCAAGAGAAACCCCGUCCAAAUCGUAAACCUUAUAUACGAUUUUUUAUCAAUAGUUCCAAGAAGGAAUAUGUUGAUAGCAAUGGAUAAAGAAGGUAGCCAAGGAACCAAAGGAACUCCCCAUAACUUAGGCUUCUUUGCCAUUGGAACAAAAAGCCAAAGAGCACCUGUCCCUAAAAACCACAAUGGAACAAAGAUUGUAUAUCCAAUCCACUUAUGCUCACUACUAUUAGCCCAAUAAGCUGAAAUUCCAAUUGAAGAUCCAAUAAUCAACAAAAUACACACAAUGAGAUUUACUUGGUUCCUUUUUGUAGUUACCCCACUUGAAUAAUAUCUCCUUACUAGAAGUGCCAAUGCCACAAGUGAAAAGAUAAACAAAGUAGAAAUCGACAAAAGGCUAGAUAGAAUACUAAGAUUGGUGAAGAAAGCAACGAUAGCAGUAGCAAUAAGCAUUGAGAUCGUAGCAUUCAUAGGUGUUCCUGUUCUUUCAUCAACAAGAGCAAACCAAGGUGGCAUCAUGUGAGUACGUGCAAUGUGUGUUAAGUAACGAGCUUGACCAACCGCACUAACCAACAAAACCGUUGUCAUUCCUUUCAAAGCACCUAAUGAAACAAUGUACUUAGCCCAAUCCAUUCCAACAGCACUAAAAGCAACUGAGAAAGGAGCAUCAGUAUCAAGUUCUUUGUAAUUCUGCAUAAGACAAAGUGUUGCUCCUAGUAAGCAAUAUAUUGCUGUUGUAAUCGUCAUUGAUCCAACUAGACCGAUAGGAAUGUCUCUACCAGGGUUUUUAGUUUCUUCAGCCAUGGUUGAAACAGCAUCAAAGCCAAUAUAAGCAAAGAAAAGAACAGCCGAAGAACUGACCAUUCCAUGCAACCCGAAAGGAGUGAAGUCAUUGAAGUUUUCGGGUUUGGCUUUGAUUAGACCGGCGAUUACUAUGAAGAUAAUGACAGCCAUGUGGAACAUUGUGGCUAUGUAGUUGAAGAUGGAAGAACCUUUGGUGCUGUAAACUGCAAGAGCUGUGAUGGCUACUAGGGCUCCAAUAGCAAUAGGGUCAAGAUGGCCAUAAUCAGGAUUCAUAUUGUGAACUAUUAUACGAAAAUCAUCAGGGUUUUUGUUGCAGAGGGUGGCAAAAUAGGAGGUCCAUGAUCGAGCUACCGCCGCGUUGCCAAUGACAUAUUCAAGGAGGAUGUUUCCGGCAGCUAUGAAGGCAACAAAAUCUCCCAUUUCUACUCUCAAGUAAGCAAAUGACCCACCUGAAUAAGAGAGUGAAAUGUGUAUAAAUAUCAAAAUCAAACUUGAUAUAGUUAAACUUAAACCAAUAAUAAUAGUGUAUUGUAAAAAAAUUGUUAAAUAUGUUUUUGGUCCUCAUAAAUAUACAAACUUUUCGUUUUAGUCUCUUUAAAAUUUUCCUUCAACUUUUAGUUCCUUAAAAAUUUUUCAUCUUCACUUUUGGUCCCUAUUUUAAAGUAAACUCAUAUGUAGAAUUCAUAUUUUUGAAUCAAAUUUUCCAGAAAAAUUCAUAAUAUUAUAUGAAUCUCUCCCAAAAAAAAUUUAGAAUUUUUUAUAUUUUUUAUGGUUAAAAAUUCAUAUUUAAUUUAUGUUUACUUAAAAAAUUCUAAAUUUUUUUGGGAAAUGUUUUUACAAUAUUCUACACAUUUCUGUACAAUUUCGUUAAAAAAAUACUAAAAUUUACUUUAAAAUAGGGACCAAAAGUAGUGAUUCAAAAUUUUAUAGGAACUAAAAGUUGAAGGAAAAUUUUAGAAGGACUGAAACAAAAAGUUGGUAUAUUUAUAGGGACCAAAAACAUAUUUAACCCUAAAAAGAAAUCAUAGCUUCACAAGAAGAGUACUAAUUAAUUUGGUUCUCCAUUUGCUACAUUAUCAUUAGAUAUUUCUUUUUAAAAAUGAAGAGGGUUUUUAUUCUCCAAAAAUCCUAAUCCUCAAACUAUUCUAACAUAUAGUAUAGUAUAGCAGUGCAGUACUAGGACUUAGUCUUGAACACUUGGAAUUUUUGUGACGUUAAAGCCAAACUCUGACACCAUGCGUUAGUUGAGACGUUGACAAUAUUGUCCCUCUCUUUCUUAGUUCUUUUUGUCUUUAUUAUCUUUACUUGGGGGCCACCACAUUUAGCUGCUCAUAUACAUUAAGAUUAUUGUUUUCAAAAACUGUUUUUGGUUUAAAAAAUUAUUAAAAAUGUAUUAUUUUGAAUAAUGAUUGCGACAUUUUUCAAUAAAGAAUUGAAUUUUUUUUUUGAGAGGAUAUUCUCAAAAUAAUUAAACAAAAAUCCUUAAACUGUUGAAUUUUAUUACACCACAUUUUCAAUUUUAUGUUUUUUUACAAAAUUAUUUCAAUCUUUUAAACAAAUUAAUUUUUUUCAUUUUCUUAAAUAUUUAUUAAAAAGAGGGAAUAUUUUUUUUAAGAAUCUUAAAUAUUUAUUAAAAAGAGGGAAUAUUUUUUUUAUAAGAAAUUCAUAAAACUCUAUCAAAAAAAAAUCAUAAAACUGAAAUAUUAGUUGUGGUUAACGAAUGGAAAUAUUAAGAAAGGGUGUUAACAAAUGUCCUUGAAGUUUGUUAAAGACUAAAAAGAGUAAAUAUAAUUGACAAGCUUUUAGUAAAAAAAAAAAAUUAUUUCUAAAGUUUAAGGUGUUGAAUACACAAUUCUCUUUAUAAAUUUUACUAUUUACAUUUCUUUAACAACUGUCCGAAUAACACUUGAUCGUUUUAGAUUAAAAAAAAAAAAAGUCUUAUUUAAAAAUACAACAUGCUACUCUAUCUAUUGUUGAUUUUUUCUUUGAUUGAUUUUUUAACUUUCAUCAUGUGAAUCUGUCUCUUUCUUAGCGACCAGCGAAAAAUUCAGAAACACUCAAGUGACUCAACCCCCCAUCAAAUUGCUUUUUUUUAAUACAUUUAGACCUUUUGCAUUUGUCUUUUAAUGUUUUUUCAAUCGCAAAAAAUUGACUAACAGUUCAACCCAUCGUAUAUUUUAUGUGUAGGGUUAUAAUUCUUAUUUGUUGAAUACGUGAGCAAUUUCAUCUGUAUGGUUGAUUUCAACGUUUCUAAGUGUGUAUAACAAAAAAAUAUCUUUGUUGUGUGAACAGGUUGACUAUUGGGGCGCCUGACUAUUAGUCUAUUACUAUUAAAGGAAUGAAUCUCAACAUAUUGAAUUUUCAUAAUUUCAUUACAUGUAUGCAUAAAGUUAGUUUACAUCAACAAUACAUUUUCUUCAAACUCGUGUAUAGUUUACAUAUAAAUAAAUUUGUAAAAAAUAUUAUAAUUUUAUAAGUACAAGUUGUCCAAGAAAGAAAAACUUUAUAAGUACAAUACUAACAGUUAUCUACAUUUUGUCGAAAAAAACUUAACUACAUUUAUUUCCAGAAAAAAUCUAGCGUGAGGAGUUAUUAUUUGUUUGUGUGGUACAAUGACUGAUGAAUGGAGGAAUCAUAGACUUUUAGUGAAAUAAAGUCAAAGCCAAUGUAAAGAUACUCUUAAAGAUACUUUAAGAUUCUUGACUAAAGCAUUUCCUUUUUUGCCAAUUUUUCUUGGCACUGAAUCUAGCUUGUAAAACAUGACAACCCUCACAAUUUUGUCAAUCUUUAAUUUUACAAGUCGGAGAAAGGAAUUAACAGGAUAUUAUACCAUAAUAAAAAAGAUAACUAUACAAAACAUUAGUGAAUUUUCCUUCAAAAAAAAAACAUUAGUGAAUUUAAUGGUAGUAAAAUAUCAGUUUCCCACAAAACAAAUAAAUGAAAGAUUAAAAACGCAGGCACCAGAAUCCGGUGUUAUUAGAAUUUGUUGGAAAAAAUGUCAAAAAAAAAAAUGAAGUUAGAAAAAGUAAAUGUUGCAUAUUAUGAAAUUAAUCAAUAAAGAUAUAUUUUAGUCAUGAGAAAAAAUUGUGGAACCUAAUUUUUUUUUUUAUCAAGUAAUCUAGUGGUUGUAGCUCACACAUUUCUAAAGAUAGAGAAAUAGGGUAUUUAAGAUUUGAAUCUCAGCAACAACAUAUAUUAUGCAAUAUCACUCAGUUAAGCUUAGUGAACCUAAUUUAAUUGCUGAGAAAAAAUAUUCUUAAAUAAACGUUUAGAAUUUUUAUUUUUUUAAAGGAAUUCAACAUUUGGAAUUAUCAACUCAUGUUUGCCAAACAAAGAAUUAUCAACUCAUGCGAAAGAGACAAUGUCUUAAUUUUGUAAUACUAGUAAAAUAAUUACAUGUCUCGUACGUGUAGCUCAGUUGGUAGCUACCAUAAAUACUAUGCAAGGGUUAGGGUUUGAAUUCUGGAUUCCUCCUUCUCCACAAAUAAUAUGUGCGAAUCUAGCCACUGGUACAAUUGAGUGCAUAUUUUUUUUAAUAUCUCGUCUAGAUUGAUUCCUCCAUCCGUAUUAAAAUAAGAGUCGUAGGAGUAAUUUUAUUUUUUUUUUGAAAAAUGCUAAAGUGCACGAGAGAAUUUUUCGUUCAUAUUGCACGACAAAUUCUUUCUCUCUUAUUUGAUUUGUUCAACUGCAUUUUUUUAUGAUAAAUCUCAAGCAUAUCUCUUCCUGUGAGUUACUACAAAUCAAUAUCACAAUAUAAUAUACUUUAAAUCAAAUAGUUGACGGUUUACCCUUGACCCAUAGGAUAACAGAGUACAUUACUUUGGACAAUAGUGAUAAUGACAAUGACGGUGAUCAUGUCAAUAUUGUUUAUAUUAUGUUGCAUUUUUUUGUUUUUAUUAUUUAGCUUAUAAUUUAUUUUGAAAAUGGAUAAACUUGCAUGAAAAAGCCUCCAAUUAAAUGAGCAAGUUGUGUGUAGGAUAUGUGGGUCGUGCAAAUUCGUGUGGAAGAGAGUGUCGUAUCAAAUAGCACCACUCUUUUUUUUUUGUGAGAAAAAAGGUAGGAGUAGUAUUUAACAUCAAGUUAAAUAGCAACUUACAAUGUUGUAAAAUUAUAAAUUUCGGUGCUUUAUUUUGAGUGGAUGUGUAGGUACUUUAUUGAUGAACCAUAGUGCUCCCUCUAUCUCAUUUUAAUAAUAGUUUAAGUAUUGGAUACGAUUUUUUUUAAAGAAAUCAUUAAUAGCGUUGGUUUUAAUAAGGUGUGUUUAUUUUAAGUUUAUCAAAUUUAUUGUUAAAAAUAACAAUAUUUGGAAUAUAAAGAUGAGAAUUUUAUUCAAGGUAUUCAAAAAAAAAAAAUGUUUCGUUAACUUUAUAAUAUUCAUAUGGGUUAAUAUGUCUUUACCCCUGUAAUUUGGGCGAAUUCCAGUUUAUCCUAUGUAAAAAAAAAUUGUUUAGAUUCCAACCUUAAAAAAUGAAGAUUCUCCAAAAAAAACACCCCGAACACACUCCACUUGCUGAAAUGGCACGUCACUGUGUAAUUAAUUUUAUUUUUAUUUUUUUAACCUGACAUGUGUGUAAUUUUUUAAAAAUUUAAUUUAAUUUUUUAUUUAAAAUUAAUUUUAAAAAAGAUAAAAUAAUUUAAAAAAUCUGAAAAUUAAUUUUAAAAUAUUUAAAAAAUCAAUUUGUUUUUAUAAAUAAGAAAAAAAAAUUGUUUUUUUUCAAAAAUAAAAUAAAUGAGAAAAAACAUUCAAGUUUUUUUCAAAAUUUACAAAAAUAGAAAAAAUGAAUUUUUUUAAAAUUUAAAAAAUUAUGAAAAAUAAAAAAAAUUGGAAAAACUAAAUUGGAUUUUUUUUUAAUAUAUAUAUAAAUUUAAAAAAAAUAAAAAAAAUCCGAAUUAAAUUAAAAUUUGAAAAAUAUAAUAUUUUCUAUUUUUUUAUUUUGAAAAUUAAUUUCCAUAAUUAUAUUUUAUUUGAAAAUAUAAUCUAGACGAAUAAAAUGAUAUAAUGGAUAUUGACUAACACCCGGUGUAUAAGUCAUGUUAUACGUGUUGAAUAACAAGCCCUUAAUUCUGUUAUUCAAUAUUUUUAUAUUUUGUAUAAAAAAAAAAAAAAAACUUUUUCAUUUUGAAAGAAAAAUUUGAACUUUUUUAAAAUAUUUCGAAAUAUAUUUUCUUAUUAUAUUAACUAAUUUCAAAAUAUUUUAAGUUCCUGAAUUUUCAUUUUUUUAUAAAAUAAAACUUCUUACUUUUGAAAAAAAAAAUACGGUUUUUUUUUCAUUUUUCCGGUAUUGAAAAAAAUCUAGAAAUAUAUUAAUUUUUUCAUUUUUAAAAAUUUUUCCAUAACUUUUUCUUUUUUAUUAAUUUUUUCAGAAUAUUUCUCAUUUAAGAUUUUUUUUAUUUUUAAUAAAAAAAAAAAUCAUAAAUUCCACAUGUAACCCAUAAAAAAAUAAUUAUAUAGUCAGCGCGCCACAUCAUCCAAAAAAAGGUGACGCAGCGUGCCACAUCAGCGUAAAUGCACAGUCAGCUAGCGCCAGAGGGGUUUUUUAGAGAGUCUUCAUUUUUAAGGUUGGAAUCUAAACAAAUUUUUUACAGAGGUAAACUGGAACUCGCCCAAAUUACAAGGGUUAAAUACAUAUUAACCUUAUUACUAGAAACUAUAAAUAUAUAGAUUAUAAUAAGUAACUACUAAUGAAUUUAUUCAUGAAAAAUGUUAACAAAUGUUACGAAUAUAUUGGAAAUUGUACGAGUAUAACGUAACAAGUGUUUAACUUAUAUUUUUAAGACAUAUUUUUCUUUUACGAAUUUCUAAAACAAUAUUCUCUGGACACUUUAUUCAUAUUUCUAUAAACAUUAAUAAAAUUUAGUCAACUUGUAACAAAUACUACAUUCUAUGCGAGAUUAUUAACCACUACCCACUAAGAUCAAUCUCAUUCGUAACACCGAAAAGUUUAGUUGUUUUAAUACUCUUAUAACCUUUUGUUGUAUUUUUAUAUUCUGUGAAAAAAGAUGCUCUUAUAUCUACUUCGAGUAACGGGUAAAAGUUUCUUAUUGUCAAAAAAUUCAAUUCAAGCUGCAUUAAAUUAACGCUAUGAUUUUGUUCUAUGCAAAUAUGUCUCAUUUUAGUUUUAGUCCCUUUUUAUAUUUUGUUUUUUUUAUCUCUGUAAAUAUGUCUCGUUUUGGUUGGGUUCCUGGUCCCACUAAACUCAUCUAUUAGAAAAAUAAUCUCUGCAACAAAAAAAAAAUUACAAAGACUAAAAUCAAAACGAGACAUAUUUUCAGGACCAAAAUCAUAUUUUUGCUGCAAAUGAUCAUAUAAUGCAUAAGAAAGAUUAUAGUGAGAAUAAGAGAAAGUACCUGCAACCGGAAUUUCCACCGCAAACUCUGUAUAGCAAAAUACUGAUAACAAAGCAGAUAUGCCGGAGAUGACAAAUGACAACACAACUGCCGGACCUGCAUGCUGCUUAGCCUCAAGUCCGGUCAGCACAAAUAUUCCGGAGCCGACGACCGCACCGAUACCAAACCACAUCAAGUCCCACCAGUUCAGCGUCUUCUUCAUCUCAUUCCCACUCCUAGCCUUAAUCUCCACCAGCUCUGCAUGAUCACUGGAUCGUUUCAACAAACGAUCCUUCAACCGGUAAGGUGUUUCCAUGACAGAUUUUCCAUAGUUUUCCCAACUCUUAAACGACUCCUCCGGGAAGAAGUCGUUUGUUUGAAACGUACAUCCUCUUCUACGUACUCCUCCGCCUCCGUCAGCCACCUCUCCAACCGCCAUGUUCCUGUUUUCAC
rnacentral:lncRNA from 1 species